AACGAACGCUGGCGGCAGGCUUAACACAUGCAAGUCGAACGCAUCCUUCGGGGUGAGUGGCAGACGGGUGAGUAACGCGUGGGAACGUGCCCUUCAGUUCGGGAUAACCCAGGGAAACUUGGGCUAAUACCGGAUACGUGCGAGAGCAGAAAGAUUUAUCGCUGAAGGAUCGGCCCGCGUCUGAUUAGCUAGUUGGUGGGGCAAUGGCCCACCAAGGCGACGAUCAGUAGCUAGUCUGAGAGGAUGAUCAGCCACAUUGGGACUGAGACACGGCCCAAACUCCUACGGGAGGCAGCAGUGGGGAAUAUUGGACAAUGGGCGCAAGCCUGAUCCAGCCAUGCCGCGUGAGUGAUGAAGGCCUUAGGGUUGUAAAGCUCCUUCGUCCGGGACGAUAAUGACGGUACCGGAAGAAGAAGCCCCGGCUAACUUCGUGCCAGCCGCCGCAGUAA
rnacentral:rRNA from 1 species